AUGAAACACCAAUUUUUGGAGACAAGUGCAAAUAGGGGUGCCGAACGGUUAACGCUGUCUCUCUUGACUUGCGCACGCUUCAUUCUUUUCGUUUCCAGUUGAUACCGUUGCCCCCAAAACACAAACAGAACAAUAUCGA
ensembl:ncRNA T10H10.4 ncRNA